CUGCCACUUGCAUUAACUCUCACUAUUAACGCUCAUAUCCAUUUAUCUUAACUCAGUUGACAAUCCACAUUGCGAGCAGUGAUAAAUAUCUGCUAAGAAGACGGAUUAAUACCAGAAACAUCUCAUACGGGUUCUCCCGUCUCUGAAGCGUCAACCGUCAUUGAAUAGGUGUUGAUGUAGGACAGGAGGAGGAGCAGUGAACCGUAAUAUCGUCGACAAACAAAAUAGUAUACUGGAGAACUUUCUGCUGCACAUAAAGGAAAGGCUGCUGCUGAAGGCUACAAAUAAAGAGUUUGCACGGAAAUGAAACAAUGCUUUUAAAAACCACCUGUGAACAGCUGAACAUAGAAG